rnacentral:miRNA from 14 species
AGUCAGCCUGGCUUUGAAGCUUAGAGGUCAGGCAUAGACUUCUCUCUAGCUAUGAAAGUCCUAGAUAGCAU